rnacentral:rRNA from 1 species
UACAGAGGGUGCGAGCGUUGUCCGGAAUCACUGGGCGUAAAGGGCGCGUAGGCGGCCAGCACAAGUCGGUUGUGAAAUCUCCGGGCUUAACUCGGAAAGGUCAACCGAUACUGUGCGGCUAGAGUGCGGAAGGGGCAACUGGAAUUCUCGGUGUAGCGGUGAAAUGCGUAGAUAUCGGGAGGAACACCUGUGGCGAAAGCGGCUCACUGGACCACAACUGACGCUGAGGCGCGAAAGCUAGGGGAGCAAACAGG